rnacentral:rRNA from 1 species
UACGGAGGGUGCAAGCGUUAUCCGGAUUCACUGGGUUUAAAGGGUGCGUAGGUGGUCCUGUAAGUCAGUGGUGAAAUCUCCGGGCUUAACCCGGAAACUGCCAUUGAUACUAUAGGUCUUGAAUUUUCUGGAGGUCAGCGGAAUAUGUCAUGUAGCGGUGAAAUGCUUAGAUAUGACCUAGAGCACCGAUUGCGAAGGCAGCUGACUACAGGAACAUUGACACUGAGGCACGAAAGCGUGGGGAUCAAACAGG